UUCAACCCACUGAGUCUCCCAGGUGCCUCAAGAAUACUAUCAUUCUUAAAGAAUAUUUUCUGAUAAAAUAUAGCUUCACCAGCUUUCAUCCUUUUUUUCUCACCCUUUUAGUGUCUUUAUGUUUCAGCUUUGACUACCAUAAACAGCCUGCGAAUUUUGUUACCUACUAUGAUAGUCUACUGUGAACUUGUUUGUUUUUUUUUUUUUAGCUCAUUUACAUUAUUAAAAUUACUGAGUCUGGGCCUAUUUCUAACAUCUUAUAUGGUGCUUAUGGUGCUUCCUAUUUGUUCUUCUUUUUCUUUUCCUCCACUUUCCCCCUGUCUCACUUUCAUUGAAUUGAUAAGUUUUUGGCUCUUUCUGUGUGGAAGUUAUAUACACUGUUUUUGCUUGUUUUUUAAAGGUUGCUAGUCAAAUUUUGAUAUGCAUAUAUAGCUUAAUAAUGCUUAAUAUUAAUUAAUAACUAUAUGAGAAUUUUAGAACACUUAAGUCUAAUCACCAGCCUCUUAUUCUACAUGUUAUUGCUAGCAAGUAUUUUAUUUCUGCCCUGUCUUUUACUGUUUCCUCCUAUCCAUUAAGACUCAUAUCUCUAAGUUUAUGAAAAUUGCAAAUAUUUCCUGUGAUUUGUUACUUGCAACCACACGAACUUUUAAAGGAUUAAAGAGUAGCUUUUCCAACUUCAUGUUGGGUGUCUCUACUAAGAUUUCACUCCCUCAACACUAUGUAAUAACCAGCAAUUGAUAUUAUUAUUUUUAUUUUUAGGCAUACAGAAUUGCUUCUGCAUAAUGAAAUUAUACUCAGAGGAAGAAGAUUGCAUGUUCGUAUUUUAGCUAUAAGGAUAGAUAGCAACUAAAUGUCUGAGAACUUUUCCUCUUAUUCUGAAUUUCAGAGAUUAUCUCAUUAGAAUUUCAACUCCACCAAAUAGAGAUAAUGUUGUAAACUAAGUAAUUUAUUGAGAGCUUGCUGUGAAGGAGUUUAUCAGUAUUCUGUGGAAAGGCAUAAGGUGAAAUCUGCUUCUAGCAAGUGAACUCUAGAAAGUCACACUGAUAAGAUCAUGGAGAAAAGAAAGCCUGUACUAGAAACUUGUGAGACUUGAGCUGUCAUAAACCAAGGUACUUGGCACCAGAGGUGAACUCUGAGGACAAGGUUCAAAAUGGUGAUGAGCAGCAAAUGGUUAAGAUAACCUCAUUCUGCCCUGAUGUCCAGGGCUUAUAACACUUGUAUUAUUCUUCCAUUAGCUUUAUGGGUCCCAUUUUGGCUAUGAGCCAAGACAGUGAGGAAGUGUCAGUGUGAGCCUUCAAGGCUGCAAUGGGAAGGCAAAGAGGAACAUAUAUGAAUGAGCUGGAUCCAUCAUCUGUGAGCAGAGAAGAUUAGGGGGCACAGUCUGGCCCAGCAAAAGAUAUUUCUAGGCGCCAGUAUUUCACUGCGAUAAUCUUAAGUGUUAGAUUCAAAGGGUCAGUCCAGGCUCAAGCUGUCAGGUGUAUGCAAGAAAUCCAGGAGCUCAGGUGUUGGUGAAAACAAAGUACAGAUGGUCUCAUAAAUAGCAAUAAUUUGCUUUCCUUUGCCUUUUUUUUGAACACCUACUGCAUACCAAGCAAUUCAUAUACAUUAUCUCUAGUGUUCCCAAGGAUCUUGAAAAAUUGGAGUAUUUUCAGUCCCCAUUUUACAUGAAGAAACUGAGAUUAAAAGGUAUGAAGAGACUUGACCAUUUUACAUCUAUACAUCAGCAAAACUAGGGUCUAAAUACUAGUUUAUUUCACUCUGGAGUCUGAUUUUUCCACUACCCCUAGCACCUCUCAAUGAAAUGAACUCAUUGUUUCAAUUGGGUCUUGACAGUUCCAACCAUAGGUUAGACUGAAAAAUAUGCAUUUUUCUUACUUUAAAAUAUAUCUUGGAUAGAUUUUCUUAUUCUGCACUCUUUUCACAUCCUAUUCCUCAAGUUGUUUUUAUUAUGCAUAGAUCUGGAGGCAACUAAUAGACAUUUAAAAAGUCAGGUCAAAAAAUAAGAUAGCUGAGAGCCAAUAUGUGGAAAGAUUACUACUAUAUUCAAUUAAAAAAAGUUUAUAGUACAUGUGAUAAAUGGGUACUUUCCACAAGAUGCCCUAGGAAUAGGUUUAUGAUUUUGAUUUGGGGAAAAUUGUUUACUUAAUAAGAUCUGUGGUCUUAUUUAAUGGAAACGAGUACUGGAAGAUUGUCACAGGUCUUAUGUAGAUUUGUACUAUUUGCCAGAGAUAGUAAAUAAGAUUGUCACUGCAGCUGAUUAAUUUUCAGGACAAAAUUUGCAUCUCCUCUCUUCAGGGAUAUUGUUGCCAUGGUGAUAUUGUGACAUCAAGCUUUGUGCAGAGGGUUGCUGCCUCUUACCUGUAGACUUUGGCUUGCACUGUGUAGGAAGAAUUUCUGGACCACUUGGAGAAAUUUAUAUAUAAAUUUAACAUAUAUAAUAUGUCAAAGCCAAGAGGGACCAAUGGAUGAGAAGAGGAAACCUGAUCUCAAUGUUAUAUGCCUAUGGAAAAAGAAGAUUCCAUAAAGUAGAAUGAAAAUAAAGGCAAAAUAUAUAGUCUUAGA